rnacentral:sRNA from 1 species
UCAACAUAUCCAAUCAAAUCAAUACUUGC